GAUGAAGAACGUAGCGAAAUGCGAUAAGUAAUGUGAAUUGCAGAGUUUUGUGAAUCAUCGAAUCUUUGAACGCACAUUGCGCCCCUCGGUAUUCCGACGGGCAUGCCUGUCCGAGCGUCGUUGCAGCCCAUCGAGUCCCAUCUCGGUCUUGGGCGCCGUCACGCGCCCCGCGAGGGGCGGGGGCGGGCCCCAAAGCCCUCGGCGGCCCCUAGCGCGCGCCGGAGCGUCUUCGAAGCAACCGCUCCGCGCGUCGCGCCCGGGACCGGCCGGCAAGCAACGCACCCCGUACGUCUGACCUCGGAUCAGGUAGGGCUACCCGCUGAACUUAAGCAUAUCAAUAAGCGGAGGA
rnacentral:misc_RNA from 1 species